AUGAUGUCAAGUCAGCAUGGGCCUUUAUAUCCUGGGCUACACACACGCUACAAUGGCCAACACAAUAGGUUGCUAAGCCGCGAGGUGGCGCCAAUCCAUAAGUUGGUCUCAGUUCAGAUUGUAGGCUGCGAACCCGCCUGCAUGAAGAUGGAGUUGCUAGUAACCGCAGGUCAGCUAUACUGCGGUGAAUUACCGGUUCCCGGGGCUU
rnacentral:rRNA from 1 species